rnacentral:tRNA from 1 species
AUUAAAAUGGCAGAAAGUGCGUUAAGGUUAAGUCUUAAUAAUGGAAUUUCAAUUUCUUUUAAUA